rnacentral:rRNA from 1 species
UACAGAGGUCUCAAGCGUUUGUUCGGAUUCAUUGGGCGUAAAGGGUGCGUAGGUGGCGGGGUAAGUCAGGUGUGAAAUCUCGGAGCUCAACUCCGAAACUGCACUUGAUACUGCCUUGCUCGAGUACUGGAGAGGAGAUUGGAAUUUACGGUGUAGCAGUGAAAUGCGUAGAUAUCGUAAGGAAGACCAGUGGCGAAGGCGAAUCUCUGGACAGUUACUGACACUGAGGCACGAAGGCCAGGGGAGCAAACGGGG